UCCCCCCACUCCCUGCUGGCAGAACUGACCUCCUUCGCCAUGCCAUGACUGAAGGCAUGAGGCUCUGGUGUGACAGAAAGGCAGCACAAGAAUACUGCACAGCACCACAAGCACAGAGGAGAUCACAACGGGACAAACCCUGUAACACAGUGCAGGAAUUGCAAAUGGGCACAGCAUUAAGGCAAGUCCUCACAUCACCAAAAGCC